GUCCUACGGGGGGCAGCAGUGGGGAAUUUUGGACAAUGGGGGCAACCCUGAUCCAGCCAUGCCGCGUGCGGGAAGAAGGCCUUCGGGUUGUAAACCGCUUUUGUCAGGGAAGAAAUCCUCUGGGCUAACACCUCGGGGGGAUGACGGUACCUGGAGAAUAAGCACCGGCUAACUACGUGCCAGCAGCCGCGGUAAUACGUAGGGUGCAAGCGUUAAUCGGAAUUACUGGGCGUAAAGCGUGCGCAGGCGGUCGUGCAAGACAGAUGUGAAAUCCCCGGGGUUAACCUGGGAACUGCAUUUGUGACUGCACGGCUGGAGUGCGGCAGAGGGAGAUGGAAUUCCGCGUGUAGCAGUGAAAUGCGUAGAUAUGCGGAGGAACACCGAUGGCGAAGGCAAUCCCCUGGGCCUGCACUGACGCUCAUGCACGAAAGCGUGGGGAGCAAACAGGAUUAGAUACCCCUGUAGUCU
rnacentral:rRNA from 1 species